rnacentral:rRNA from 1 species
UGAGAGCAAGAGCCCGGAGAUGGAUUCUGAGACACGAAUCCAGGCCCUACGGGGUGCAGCAGGCGCGAAAACUUUACAAUGCUGGAAACAGCGAUAAGGGGACCUCGAGUGCCAGGUUACAAAUCUGGCUGUCGUGAUGCCUAAAAAGCAUUGCAUAGCAAGGGCCGGGCAAGACCGGUGCCAGCCGCCGCGGUAACACCGGCGGCUCGAGUGGUAACCGUUAUUAUUGGGUCUAAAGGGUCUGUAGCCGGCCGGAUAAGUCUCUUGGGAAAUCUGGCAGCUUAACUGUCAGGCUUUCAGGAGAUACUGUCUGGCUCGAGGCCGGGAGAGGUGAGAGGUACUUCAGGGGUAGGGGUGAAAUCUUGUAAUCCUUGAAGGACCACCAGUGGCGAAGGCGUCUCACCAGAACGGACCUGACGGCAAGGGACGAAAGCUAGGGGCACGAACCGGAUUAGAUACCCGGGUAGUCCUAGCCGUAAACGAUACUCGCUAGGUGUCGGCAACGGUGCGACCGUUGUCGGUGCCGUAGGGAAGCCGUGAAGCGAGCCACCUGGGAAGUACGGCCGCAAGGCUGAAACUUAAAGGAAUUGGCGGGGGAGCAC